GCGCUCCGCGGUUCCUGCGCUCCAGGUCCGCUACCUGAUGCAACUCGACUUCAGGGACAAGCGCUCAGUAGUUUCUGCGCGCCGGGUUCACUACACAGUGAAACUCGACUUCCUGAACAAGCGCUCCGUAAUUCUGACUGUCCAGGUCAUUGAUCUGGUGACUUUUGGCCUCCAGGACUAAUUUUCAAGUUUACAAGUUUGAUUAUUGAAAACGUCACGUUUUGUACCAUCAAACUAACAUGCAUGCUUCGGAUGACAUUUUGAAUCGGGAAAAGAACCGAACGACCAGGAUCAACAAAUUGCAAUUGCAAUUGGGCAAUAAUCCUUACACAAAAUUUUUGAUGUGUUCUGAUACUGAAAAUGUUAAUUAGUAUCCGAGGUAUAACCCGAGGUGAUUCGCGGUGGUCGUUCGAUGUGGUUGAAAGUGGUCGGAGGUGGUCGCAGGUGGUUAGGGGUGGUUGCGGGUGAUCAAGGUGGAUGAGGAGGAGACCGAGGAGGAGCAGGACGAGAAAGAUGAGAAGAACAAGGUGGAUGAGGAGGACGAGGAUUUGUGCACGGUAUAACCGGAGGUGGAUGGAGGUGGUUAUUGGAGGUGGUUGCAGCUGAUCGAGGAGGAGGACGAAGAAGACGAGAACGAGGAUUUCCGCACGGUGUAAGCCGAGGUGGUUAUCGGUGGUUGUUGGAGGUGGUUGGCGGUGGUUGGCAGUGGUUGGAGGUGGACGAGGAGGAGAACGAGGAAGACGAGGAAACCAACGUGGACGAGGAUGAUGAGGAUUUGUGCACUGUAUAUCCCGAGGUGGUUGACGGUGGUUGGAGGUGGUCGAGCUGGACGAGGUGGAGGACGAGGGUUCGUGCUCCGUGAGUUUAACAUUUUUACAAUAUUUGAUAAAGUAGAAUCAGCAUCAGAAGUAGGAUCAGGGGAAGAUGUAGAAAUAGGAGGAGAAGUAGGAGUAGUGGUAGGAAUAGGACUCGGAGUAGGAAUAUGAGUAGAAAUAGGAAUAGUAGGAGUUAGAGUGGGAUUGGGAGUAGGAG
rnacentral:lncRNA from 1 species